AGUUUUAUGUAUGGUGAAUCCCCCUGUGCGGCGGGGCAUUACUGGCUGUCUUUGAGUUUAUAUGCAUGCGGAACGUUGCAGCCAGUCGACGUUUCACCGGGAGGCACCCGGCACCGAAAACAAAAAUGCUUUACCUGAUUCAGGCCUGUUCGUCCGAGCAGGCUUUUUUUU
rnacentral:sRNA from 1 species